rnacentral:lncRNA from 1 species
ACCCAACUGCAUUUGAUUGUGAAAGUAGAGGCAGGUUUUUUCCAUCCUUUGGCCCUCCCUUCAAGAGUCCUGUUUUAAAUAAAGAGCAAGCUUAGUUGGGAGAAGAGCAUUUCCUUCUUAAUCUUACCUGUUACUUCCAUUAGCCAGACGGUGACAACCAAUUGUUCAAGGAAAACAGCAACGUCUUUUCUUCGAAAAUACAGAAUUACAGGAAUGGACAGUCAAAGCAGAGCUGUGUUUGCAGUCAUCACAGUGAUGGCGUACAUGGGAAUGGGAGCUGAGGCACAGAACACAGCAGGCUCAGGAAUCAUCUCAAGGGCAAAUUGUGGAAAGACACAGUUCUGUGCUGCUCAGCCAGCAGGCUGUGACCCAUCUGGAUCCUGUUUCUUCGUCUCAGCCAGUUUAAACUCGGGACAGACCUUUUCAUUCCAGCUUCAAGGACAAUCCAGCAUCUACAUCGCUCUACUGUUGUUCACAGACUUUGCAAAGUUUUCUUCAAACUUAACAAUGGGACAAAUUGACAUCUAUUUGUGUUAUAACAUCAACAACAUCGGCAACAUCGACAACAUAAUUUCCACACUUGGAAUAACGAUUCCUAACAUGGCGGCUAACCUGGUGAUGGGCUCAGUCAGUGGUCAGACCAUCAGUUGUAACUUCCCCAAUGCUAUUUCCACCAAGAGCAGCAGUACCUCCUUUUUCAUUUCCAUCUACGCUGGGACCCUGACUAAUGGAGUCCCAGGUAUUCCUGAGCCUGUCUUUAUAAGCACUGCUGCUGUGGACGUGUCCAACCCCAAAGCCACUGCGACCAACAGUCUCACGUCAGCCUCACCAAACGCUUUUGGUCUACAGCGCACCCUGUCUCAAGCUCUGCUGAUCCUGCUUGGUGGACUAGUUUUCAUCAUGCUGUAAUGUGGAUCUAAGUAGUAAACCACUUCACAUUCAGGAAUACUGGAUCCCUAUGGUUACUGAAGCCAACCAGGCUGGGUUCCCAAGAAUGAAACUCCUUCUGAGCAUGGGUAGUAAGACAUUAGCCUACAGAAUUAAUCCAGUAAUAUAAGUUUAAUGUUGUGUUUAUAGUCAAGGCCUUUUCAGGUACAUUUUGCCAUUGUUCAACCUCAUAACCUCCAGGAUUACCUCAAGAUCAACACAUGUUAAAUUUUGUGACCACAAAACAUUAAAGCCUAGAUUAUGUUGAUGUUAUAUUGAUGUUGUGUUGAGAAGUAAAUAUGAGGUAUACACCAAAGACAUCCACCACAAGUUAUUUAUUUGAGCCAAGUCACCUUUUACUUCAUCUUAGCUGAUUUUGUUCGAGUGUGUGUGUGUGUGCGUGCGUGGAGUGUAAAUAUUUGCUACAUAUUUGCGUCUAAUGAAGCCACAAGUAAGCAGAAGCUGAUACUUGUGUACUCGAAUUGCUAUCAAACUGAGGACCAGUGUCAGUUUCAGACAUUUUAAGUGAGGACCUUUUGGGGAAGUGAGAACUUUUUGCCCGGUCCUCACUUUAUUUUCACUGUAAUAGCAUCCUGAGCCUUUGUAAGUACUAUAUUUUCAUUUUCUUUGAGGUCCUCAGUCAGUUGAUAAAAUGACCGAACUUCGUGUUUGUACAUUUUCUUCCUUCAAACCCCUUCUGCUCUCCAGCUCCCUCUACACCUAUUAAACGGGAAGGCACAGGAAUAAUUCCAUAGGAUUACGUAUUUUUCAGAGGCCACGCCCCUCUCCUAUGGGAAGCGAUGUGGACAAAAUAGCACCAGCGAAUGCUAGCGGUGGAAAUAGCCCACGAAAACGUAGUUGUGAUGCUGUAGGUUGAUAACGUCAUGACCAAAUUGUUGUUACAGAAAUGUUACACAACAAACUCAGUUAAUGAGAACAUUUUAUUGAGCUAAUGAGCAUUAUUUUACAAGAAUAGUUUUUACGUCCAUAUCCUCCUAGUAUAUUCAACGCAGUUUGGUCUUUGCAUGUCUGAGUAAAUUAAAACGUCAAAUAACCAAUAUAUCCUAUAUUAAAGACGGACACAUAAAUUGAAAAUUAAUUGUUGAGACAUUUUUUGUUGUUGUCAUUAAUUAUUAGUUUUUUCGUCAGGAAACUCGAAAACGAGAGGAUGCAUCUCAAGAGUUAUCCUGCAAAUAUCAUUUUGAAUAUUGUCAUAACAUGUUACUACGUUUUUAUAAGGGUUUUAGGGGAGCACAUCGUUUGCAUAAUCAGCUAGUUAGCCUUUUUCUGACGAGCAGUCCUUUCCGGCAUCGUGGAGGUCUGCCUGUCAUGGCCCAGGUGUUCGAAAAAUGAAGCAUCCUUCUCGACUAUCAGCGCUUGCUCGUCGCUGUGAAGCUCCUUGGACCUGUGCUUAUUCGAGCAAGCCAGGAAUGGCCACAUUGCGGCUGGAAAUGACUUUGUAAGUAGCAACACUACAUUCGUAUUGGCUAUUAUUAUUGCCAGACCAUUCAAAUGUUUAUAAUGUUAGUCCCCCAAUACGUUUACUGUAGAUUGUAGCUAGUCAUUUUAAGCUAGCGUAGCUGGCGUUUGAAACAGUAAUGUACAUUUAACAUAAUUUGAACCAAACCUGAAGAAGCUUAGAAAUCCUAGCUACACGAUUAGGCAUACAUAUACAUGGAUGGUACGUUUCGUCAAAAUACUGUUUUGAACGUUUGUUUUGGGGUGAUGUCUGAGAAUUCUUGUGAAUCCUCAAUGCUAGCUUAGAUGCAGUAGCUA